rnacentral:sRNA from 1 species
CCCAAAUUUUUAUUGCAUCACUUUCUAAUUAAAUGUGUAUGUGAAAUAUACUUACAUCUAAGACCAUGUACAUGGGUGAUAUUUUUAGAGUAUCACAAAUCCAAAAAUUAUUUUUAUAUUAGUAAAGCAAUUAGAAUAUUCUUGAUCAGUAUCAGCCCACUGAUAUUUGUGAUAUCAGUAUCAUCUGACGUGGCUUCUUCUGAUUGGUCACAUUUGAUAAAAACAAA